AGCUGACGAGUCCCAAAUAGGACGAAAUGUACAUCAU
rnacentral:hammerhead_ribozyme from 1 species